rfam:Lepisosteus oculatus linkage group LG2, whole genome shotgun sequence.
GCCAGCAGCCAUAUCACCCUGCAGCUCCCAGCUGGCAGCCCACUGAAGCUCACAGGGUUGAGCCUGAUCAGUGCCUGGAUGGGAGACCUCCUGGGAAGCUAUGGUUGCUGCUGGAA